AGUCCCAGUCAGGACACAGCAUGGACAUGAGGGCCCCCACUCAGCUCCUGGUGCUUCUGCUGCUCUGGUUCCCAGGUGCCAGAUGUGACAUCCAGCUGACCCAGUCUCCAUCCUCCCUGUCUGCAUCUGUAGGAGACAGAGUCACCAUCACUUGCCAGGCGAGUCAGGGCAUUAGCAAUAAUUUAGCCUGGUAUCAACAGAAACCGGGGAAAGUUCCUAAGCUCCUGAUCUAUAAGGCAUCCACUUUGCAAAGUGGGGUCCCAUCAAGGUUCAGUGGCAGUGGAUCUGGGACAGAUUUCACUCUCACCAUCAGCAGCCUGCAGCCUGAAGAUUUUGCAACUUAUUACUGUCAGCAUGGUUAUGGUAUCCCCCACAGUGUUACAAGUCAUAACAUAAACCCCCAAGGAAGCAGAUGUGUGAGGCUGAGCCACCCCAGAUGCUCUUCCUGGUGCCUCCAUCUGCUGAGAGCAUUUCACAAAUUCAGUCAGGUUUUGAAAGUCAUUGGGAGACUUUUGUAGAGGGGUUCAGGGAGGCUCCUUUGAACUCUAAGUCUCCUUGCCCUCAUCGCCAGCAGAAAGAUGUGACAAUGCCUGUCCUGAUUGAAUAAGGAAGAGAGAUAAGUCCACCUGAGGAGUCUAUGUUAUGGGAUAAUUGGAAUUCAUACAGCAAAAGAGAAGCUAUUCUUGGUAUUUCAAGGAGAAAUUGUUCAAGUUGAAUAAAUUAGUCUAAACCACAGUCUUUUCGAAGCCUAUUGUAUGUUAUUCAUGAAGCAGUCACUAGACAGGGGAUUCUCAGAUGCUCCUGCAGAAGUCAGAGUUCACCUGCUCCUGGUAGUAUGUGCUGAGUACCCGCGUGAUGAUCCUCAGACCUGUCUGGUAAGCCCCGGACUGAGGAUGUUGAUGCUCUCAACUGCCUGCAACACAUCUCCAGGUGAUUCUCCAGUCUACACACAACUCCACGUGUUUUACUUCGGGUAUCAGUGUACAUGAAUCCACCACUCUGACUUCCCAAUCUCAUGGGACAGCCUCUCAUUAAGCACCUCUAAAGAAACCAUAGAGAGAAAAGGCGUUUUGGAAAAUGUGCUUCCAGAAGUGAUAGUAGUGAUGGGGAAUUGACAGCUGACAGGUCAGUAAGGUUACUCUUUCCACAAGGCUCAAAACUUUGCCAGUUACAGAUUGUCCCAGAAUACACUCGAAUGUGCUUUCAAGUCUUACCAGCAAGUCUGGAUUCAUGGCAACAAAACUUCAUUAAGCCACAGAUGAAACAGAAAAACCAGGAAACUGUAUGAAAUAAAGUGUAAGACUCUGUGUGGUAGCUCAUGCCUGUAAUCCCCAGCACUUUGAGAAGCUAAGGCAGGAGAAUUGCAUCAUCCUAGGAGUUUGAGAUUAGACUGGGUAACAUAGGAAGACUCUUUCUCUACAAAACAAAACAAAACGAAACAAAAAGAUAAGUAAAUAGAUAGUUAUAACAAUCAUUUGGCAACCUUUUUCCUUGACAAAAAGGAAAACAACAAGAGAAAUCCUAAACAUGGAUAUAGCACUUUUCCCCUUAAUAUGAAAGUCCUUUGCUACUCAAAAUUAUCCACAACCCAGCAGCACCUCAGCAAUACUGAGAGGGUGUUUUGUAUGAAACAUUGCAUGCCCACCUCAAAUUACCUGACAGACAAUCUUCCUUUUAACAUGGUAACAGGUGAUCUAUACAAAGCUUAACAAGGUAUGUUUUAGGUGAUAUUUUCACUAAAGAGAUGUAUGUUUUUCUCAAUGAGGACAUUUAAGAAAAUUUCAAUGGAGGCUCACAUGUUGAAACCACACCCAGCUUUACUUUCCAAUUGAUGCAACAUUGCAUUUGAAAUCAUUUUGAAGAUUUCAAAGGUUGAAAAUCAUAGUUAUAUACCCAUGGAAUAAACAAAUAAUGUUUAACUGGAGUAAAAGUUUUUAGAAACUUUAAUGAUUACCAAGUGAAAGAAUCAAUUAAAGUUGUGUGUACCUAUGUUAGAGAUUCUUGGACUAUUAUAAUUGUAUCAGGUCAGUUUGGUUUGGGAUGUUGUCUACUCCUGAGAUCUGCCACGAGAAUCUUCUGCCAUGAGUAGUCAGUGUUCUUCAGCCUUGGCCUCAGAUAAAUGCAAUCCAUAGGCUAGAGACAAGCUCAGUUCCCUGCAGCCAAACCAACCAGCUGAUCUCUGCCUUGAUCAGCCAAUUGAUUUGCUGUUACCUGAGCUUGUCUGUCUCCUGCUCAGUUCCUACCAUUUAAAACUUGGUGGGCAGAUGAAGCUUCCAUUCAGGCUACUCACAAUGCCUGGGUCCAACCACAAAUUAAUAUAACUGCAGAUUAACUGUUGGGCAUCAGUAGCUGGACUGGUUUAGGUGCACAAGUUGUUAUGCAGGAUGAUGCCAUAGAGCAGCUUAGAGGAGUGUGCAUUAGAGCUUGGGAAAAAAAAUCACUUCAGGAGGAGGACAAUACCCUUCCUAAUACCCUAAUUCUCUUUGGCAAAUGGAUUUCACUCACACAUGUUUCCUCAUUUGGGAGACUAGCUUAUGUACAUGUAUGUGUGGACACCUUUUCUCACUUUGUCUGGGCUACAUGCCAAUCAGGAGGGUCUCCUUCCUGUGUUAAAUGUCACCUUUUGCAAUGUUUUGCAGUGAUGGGCAUUCCAGCUUCUAUUAAAACAGAUAAUGCCCCAGGCUAUAGUAGCCAAGCUCUAGCUACUUUUUUCUCUAUAUGGAAUAUUAAACAUAUUACUGGUAUCCCAUAUAAUUCUCAAGGACAAGGCAUAGUGGAAAGAAUAAAUCUCUCCCUGAAACAGCCAUUGCAAAACCAAAAGGGGAGAAAUAGGGA